rnacentral:lncRNA from 1 species
CUCAAAAAUCAUUGUUUAUUUAAAAUCUACAACUGCUGACGUUUUGUAACGUUCGCAUUCCAGAUACAACAGAGAAAUGCAUAAUGUCCAGUCAAUUUAUUAAAGUUCCAAAGUCGGUCGCGCGCAGUGGCUCACGCCUGUAAUCUCAACACUUCGGGAGGCCGAGGCGUGUGGAUCACGAGUAUGUUUCCAGUCUCAAUAGAAAUCGAUGCCAAUCCAGAAAUACAAGCAUUAUUCUAAUACUUCUCACACAUUACUGCAGGAGUGAGGACACAGCGAAAGUGAGACAAGGAAAAGAGAACAAAAUAAAACAGGAAAGACAGAAAAGCCAAUACCACACGUGUUAAGAGUUUCAAGGAAAAUAUGUUGGGAGUUCCUGGCAUAGAGAAUGUCACAAAGACAUGUUUUCAAUAGUAGUGCUAUCCCGAGGGCAGAGAAGACCCAGAGAAAGCCCAAGUGGCUGCUGGAACAAAAUCAGACACCGUGCCACCUGUCCACACUCCUUGGCUCUGCCAUCAUGCUGAAGAUCGCUUUAAAGGACUGGCUUCCCUCCCCCCAAAAUUAAAAGAGCACAGACUGAGAAACUGAAUGUGGGAGACAGCAGUGGAUUAUGCUGUUCUCAGGGGUCACCUCAGGUUUGGAAGCAUUCUUUCAAAUUAACCCAUCUCAGGCCAUCUGCAGAGAAGAAAGGUGGUACCUAACUUUUUUUCUUGUCGGCAUUUGGUAGGGGUGUUUUAUUGACCAAAUAUGUUCCCACAACCUAGUUUUUUGUGACUAACUAAAUAUAGUAGAGUUUUAAAUUUUAUCAUCAAAAUCUAUAGACAAUUUUUGAUGAAAAUAGACUCCAUCUCUAUGUCCUGCUUUUCUUCUUCUUAUUAAUUACAUUGCUGUAUAAAAGAACAAGACUUCAGCAUCAAGAAUAUCUUGUCUCUUGGCAUUGAAUUUAUACAAGGUGCUCUUUCUUUAAUGCUGUCUCAAAGGACAUAUUUUUACUCAUUAAAAAGGAAGAUCGGAAUCUAGUUGUAUGCACUGCUCCAACAUAUUAAUAAUUAAAAUUAGGAGGUAAAUGUGGUCAAAGCUAUAGAAAGACUGAGAUGUCAUUUAUAUGGAUUACUCUAUAGCACUCUACAAACAGAAAUUGUUAAAUAAUAGUUUAUAUAAAUAUUUUGUAGCAUUUCAAAUAUUUGAGUGCUUGAAGUUUCUCCUCUUCUAUAGUUCAGAUUAUCAAUUUGAAGACUUACUCCGCUAGUUAAUAUGUUUUUAGUCUCGUUUGAGUAUUAUAUAAAAGCAAUUUUCAGUUAAAUGUGUUCCGCUUACAUAAAACGUUACAAAUUAUUGAGGAUUUAAUUACUUAUUCAUGUUCCUGUAAUGUCUUUAGAAGAUUUUCUUAUUAUUACCUAUCAAUAUAUGUAUGCUUUGUCAAAGAAAAAUCAAACAUAUAUAUCAUUGAAAUUGAAACUUUUUAAAAGUACUUAUUAAUUCUAUUGAAAAACCACAUCCAUAGGAACAAUUACAAUAUAAUAUUGUGAACAUGUAAACAUAUACCCUAUGUCUAUUUUAUGUAUAAGCAUGUAUGAUUAAAAAUAUAGUGAAGAAUUUUUAAACCUAGUAUUAUAAAGUAAAAAUUAGUUAACUUCUGAUGAUUAUUUGUUAAUUAAGAUAAAAUUAUUUUGAUUUGGGUGAUUUUAAAUAAAGAAAAAUAUUAAAUUACAUGACAAAAAUUCUUUAUAAAAUGUUUAUGAUUUUUACAUUGGUUUUAUCACUUUUCCCACUAUUUUAUUUUAAGAUGACCUGCCUUGUUUAAAACACUGUAUUCAUCUUAGUUAAAUUAGAUUCCAUUUGUAAAAUAAUUAACAAAUGAUUUGCUCUAUUGUACAGUGCGGUUAUAAACUGAGUCAGUAUCUCAAGAUUUGAUCCCCAUUAUCAUCAUCUGUGGCCCUAUUUGUUUUAUAAAUGUAUUGUCUUUUUCCAUGCCUGUCACAUCUCUAUUGCUCUUUCAUUUUUCUCUUUGUCCCUUAUAGGGAGCAUUGCCUAUCUCUAGAUUAAGCAAAAGUUGCAUCAUAAAAAAGCACAAUAACCUGCUCAAUCUUUCUCACACAGAGAAAUGUUUGUUAAGUAAUUAAAGUGUAGAUGAUGAUACAAAGAGCUUGAUUAAAUUAGAUGCCAAAGUACCCUUGUGAUUCAGAAUAUGAAUGGUAUUUAAUUUCUUUGAAAUCAUUAAUUGCUGAGUGAGAUUAAUUAAUGCCAAUAUUCCAGAAGAUGUUCUACUUAGUGAAAUGUAUACAACGAAAAGCACAAUAACCUGCUCAAUCUUUCUCACACAAAGAAAUGUUUGUUAAGUAAUUAAACUGUAGAUGAUGAUACAAAGAGCUUGAUUAAAUUAGGUGCCAAAGUACCCUUGUGAUUCAGAAUAUGAAUGGUAUUUAAUUUCUUUGAAAUCAUUAAUUGCUGAGUGAGAUUAAUUAAUGCCAAUAUUCCAGAAGAUGUUCCAGUCAGUGAAAUGUAUACAACGUGCAAAAGAUUCAGAACUCUGAAGGGCAACAUUAUUCUAUAAUUAAGAAUUAAGAAUGAAUUCGCAUUAAUUACUGGGGAGAAAUACUUUUUAAGAAUUAAUGACUGAGAAAAUGUUUUUAUUUUUUAUUUAGAAAAUUAUUUUGUGCAUGAGCAUUACCGCAAGUUUUGCAAGAAACAUAAAUUUAAAGAAACAAUUAUGUGCACAAGAUGAAUUUAAUAACAUCUUGAUAUAUUCCACGAUUGCGGUUUUAUUUGGUAAAUCUUUCAAGGCACACCAUUUAAAGAGAAUAAAUGAGUCUUGGAAAUCUUGUAGGUAAGGGUAAAUAUUAGGAUGCAUCCAGUUACAUUUACACACACAUACAGUUACAUUUACACACACAUACACGCAUACAGACUGAGUCACGUGUGUGUAUAUAUAUAUAUGAAUUUACCAAUUGAUGUUAACUAAUAUUUAUAAGAGCCAGUUGGAUUGAUAUAUAUUGUUGAACCUGAAAAAUAUUUAUUAUAUACAUGUUUAAAAUACACACAGAAAUAAAUAGCAAUUGCACUAGGCAUUUGAAACUGUACUAAAAUAUAAGCUGUGAACAUUUUGUGAUCAUUACAAAUUCUUACACUGAAUAAAUAUUUUUAUUUUUACAAUAUUAAUAUGUUUGAUACCUGUGUAUAUUUUUUUACAAUGUGUUAUUUUAUUUUUGUCAUAGAGUCAUGUCAUGCAUAAUAACAUUUUAGUCAAAGAUGGAUUACAUAUACAAAAGUGGUCCCAUGAGAUUAUAAUAGAUAUUUUUACAUACUUUUCUACGUUUAAUUAUGUUUAGAUACAUAACCUCUUACCACUGUGUUCUUAUUGCCUGCAGUAUUCAGUACAGUAAUGUAGUACACAGAUUUGUAGCCUGGGAGAAAGAGGCUAUACCAUAUAACCUAAACGUGGUAGGCUGUACAAUCUAGGUGUUUGUAAUACUCUCUGUGAUGUUUGCAAAAUGGUAAAAUUGCCUAUGAAUACAUCUGUUAAAACGUAUCCCUAUCAUUCAGUGAUGUGUGACUGUACUAAAAUGCUCAAUGUAAGUUUCAAUGCCCUCCAUAAAAUUGUUGUACUGUGAAAUACAAAUCUCUCACCCAUGGCCUGAAUAUGUUUGCAAACUAAGCAGAUCAUGGGAAGGAGAAUGUGCUGGCACCGCUGGGAUGAUUUUCUCACUCUACAUGAAUAAUAUCUACAGACUUCGUGAAUAUGAGCCACUUGCAUAGAGUUAAAGUAGGCAUCUCUUUGCUGGGAAAAUUAUCAAAUGGGAGUAUGAAGUGUUUUUACAAGAUACUCGUUUGUUUGUAGCUGGUAGGCCUACAGUGGCUCUUGGUAAUGGUUGAGGUUGCUAAGAUUUGGUGGAAGAAGGCAAA